CCCCGCACGGGCCCGGCCCGGAACGAGAGCCCCCGGGCCGCCCCGGAACGGAAAGCCCCCGGGCAGCCGGGGAGCGCGUUGGGCUGUCGGUGCGAGGCACCGGGGGGCUGCGGCUGGCGGGGAGCGGGCCCCAGCCCCCGGCACCUCGGGCUGCCCUGUGGGAAGCCCCGGCUGCAGCGGAAAGGACCGAGGAGGCGUUGGACUGGUACUGGGUGCGCGGCGCGUGGUGACGCGCCACAACUAAAGCAAAUAACCUUCCCGAGUUAGGCUCACGAAGUUGUUUUCUCUGAAGUCGGUUUUCUCCCUUUCGUCCACCGUAAACGCAGGAGCGCUCAAGACGGAACGUUGGAGGACAGGGCCCCCCCCCCCCCCCCACAAGUGCUCCUGUGCACCUGGCACAAACCAAAGGGGAGCUCCUCCAGCAAAUGCAAAGGUGCUCGAGACAAAUUGAUGCGUUGCGGGUGCCCAGGAAUUGCCCUUCUGUGCCUGACUGGACCAUACAUAGGAACUUCUAGCCAUCGGUACGUGGCACCUGCUGUUAUCAGGGCGUCAUCGCCUCAGCACGCAAAGUCAGGGAUAAACACCCAGAGGACGCAGCGCUGCCAAGGUUACAGGACAUGGGGUGGCUCUAGGAGCCAAAUCACAAUUGUUUCCUCCCACUGUCCGGGAAAUAAAGACGUGGCUGGUGUGGCGUGUGCUCUCUCCAAAGAAAAAAAAAGGUGCAAUAUUGAUCCCUGUAGAUAUUCCUAAGGGAAACGAGUCACUUUUCCAUGGGAAGCAUCCUGUCAAAACUUCAGAAAUCUAUUCCACUUCAGAGAUAAGCUGCUAAAACACUAAGUGAAUGGACAGCGUUUCUUAACGUCAAAUUGUUUUUUGCUGCCAUAAAGACCUGGCAUUCAACGUUAGAGUUUCCUGAUCCUUGGCAGUGUAACAAUCAUUGUCAUAACUGAAAAAAUAAAUAAAAAAGACAACUCAUCUUCAUGCUUUGAAUACCAAGAGCUGAAUCAUAGCAAAUCAAUGCAGUUGAAACAUUAAGAAUAAAUUCAUUUUUGCAUAUAUUUAUAGCCUAUGUGCAUGACUAGGCUUUCUGUGAAGUGCUGUUUCAGAGUUCUUCCUGCUAUUACCGCGAGGACAGUCCUUCCUGCUGGCAGCCGGCUCAGGAGGUUUCAAGGCACCAGACCAAGUGCCAGGAGCCCUCUCGAGAACGAGUCAGGUGUUUGACAUUCAGCUGCUCUGCAUAAUUCGCCUGCACCCUAAUAUGGGUGUGGAAAUUGCAGCAGGAGCUCAGAUUAACUGGAUGAUGCAUAGACCUUGUUUUCUUCAUCCUCUGAAGUUCUCAAGUUGCUAAUGAGAGUUUAAAUAGCCAGAAAAAGAAGGAAAGAAAGAAGGAGAGAGAGCCUCCCUGCUUAUCAUCGUAGCUCUUGGAAUCUUUUUUAAAGGCAGAUUCAUGAUUGUCACUUAAAGAGAUGUGAGGUGCCACCUCACCAAGCUGCAAACCUCAGUUCUGGGGGCUUUUUGGUAGUAACAACUCUUCCAGCGUUACACGGGAGGCUUUGAAGUGUGCCCUGCAGUUCCUGUGAGAGUUACAGUGUAAAACAGCAGUUCUGGAAACAUUGCCAGGGAGGAAAAGAACCCUGCGAUGUUCCGUAUCUGUAGAGGUAACGUUUCUCCCUCCUAUCUGAUGAUUGCAAGCUCAUCUUGCUUUGUGUGCCAGGAAUGCAAAGGAAAAACACAGAAAACGUAGUGUGCCCUGAAAGUACAUUUCAGUCUUUCUGAGCUAAAUGUCGUUCUACAUCAAGAGAAAACGCAGCACCAUGAAUACUCCAUAGCACCCCCUCCUAGUGUGUUCCAGUGGUAACAGUUACCUAAGGUAUUUCUUUAUGAACGGGCGCGUUUCUUUGGCUCCUUACUGAGCCUCUCUCCUCGCAAUUUGCUGUUAUUUAAGCUCGGAGGCAGCAGCAAAUAAAGCCGUACCACCGCAACGGGCCCGAUUAUUCUUUUAGGGCCGUCUAGAGCCAAUGGGAACUUCUACAGUAAAUAAAACGGGCUCUCAAGUUGAAAGCCUAUGAUAGAAAACAUUCCCGAAGUAAGCUUGUCUGUCCCUUGGGUCCUUCCCACACUUCAAACCAGAAGUCUUGCUGUUGGCCGAGGUGCGUUUACAUCUGGGACUCAGAGGUGCUCCGUGGUGCAAGUGCUGCGCUUCGUGCAUCAACAGGAAGGGCGCGCGUUAGUAAUCCCGCAGCUAUGUGGUAGGUAUUCGUUGCCGGGUGCGGGUGCGCAGACCAGCAGCCUGCAUUCAGGCCAAGUCCCAACAGCACGUUAGUCAUGCCCGCAGCAGCCGUUGUGCAACUCCUCCUUCGGCCAGGCUCCUUCCCAGCGAUUCCGGCUGUGCUUUACGGCUCUGCAGUGACCUCCAUCCUCUUUGCUGGUCCUGCGGCACCACGGCUUCGUGGUGUUAACGUUCUCCCCGUUGCUUUCUUAUUCCCUAGGGUUGCUGUGAGCUCUGUGACAGGUAACUCUUCCCGCUUCUCCUGGGCUCUUCCCUCAAGGAGUCAUCUUUCUGGUGAGCAGUGCCCAGCUCCGAGCGUAGCCUUCGUUCCCUGGGAGCUCCACUUCCACAGCACACUGCGGAUCUCCGUGACUCAUCUCUUUCUGGAGCCGCUGCGUCCAAGAGGCAGCGUGCCGGGGAGUGAUAGUAAAUCUCCUCCUGAAAGCCAGAUUUUACGCUAGUGCUUAUUCAUGUUUCUCCAGAGCAGAAUGCUGUUACGUGAAUGCCAACAGCAGCGCUGAGUGCUGGGGAGGAGCAUACCGACGCGAUGCUCUUGCAGGGCCCGAUCCUGCAUUUUCGGCUUUUCCUGCAAGCGCCGAGGAGCGGAGGCACUCCAUAGCUUUGCAGUCUGGGCACACGGCGUCUGCCUGUGCGGCUGGGGAUUCAUCACGGCUGUCCCCGCGUAGCUGGGUAUGCAAAUGGCACUGUCACUCCGUCAGCCAGGCAGAUAACUUACAUAGAACGAUGCCUCCAUGUACCCCGUCCCCUUUCUCUGCUAAGUUGUCAGGAUGUUUGUGUUUUAAUUCUGUUUCUCAGUUUUACAGAAGUAAUAGGUAUUUUUGUGAGGGGGUCAACAAAGUUCGUAAGAGUUUUUAAAAGUGCUGGGGUUUUAUAUUGAAAAAAAAGAAGUAUAAAGUCUUUGAAUUGUUUUUUACCUAUUUAUUGACAUCCAUAAGAUGUAAACAUUGUAAAUAAGGUCAUUAAUACCUUUAUAAUAGAGUCGUAUAACAAAUAGAAAUUAAAUAUAAAUUACCGCAUGAGGUGACGAAUUA